GUGCCAGCCGCCGCGGUAAUACGGAGGGAGCUAGCGUUGUUCGGAAUUACUGGGCGUAAAGCGCACGUAGGCGGCUAUUCAAGUCGGGGGUGAAAGCCCGGGGCUCAACCCCGGAACUGCCCUCGAAACUAGAUAGCUAGAAUCUUGGAGAGGCGAGUGGAAUUCCGAGUGUAGAGGUGAAAUUCGUAGAUAUUCGGAAGAACACCAGUGGCGAAGGCGACUCGCUGGACAAGUAUUGACGCUGAGGUGCGAAAGCGUGGGGAGCAAACAGGAUUAGAUACCCCCGUAGUCC
rnacentral:rRNA from 1 species